GGGAGAUUGUUGAAAUUGAGCAGUGUCGACGCCGUAAAAAUGGCACCCCUUGUGCGAGUUGCCGGGAGUAUUCUCGUCCGCGAUCGACUUCUCACGGCGGUUAUCGCCGGAGCCUCCAGUCUUUCGUUCGUGGGAUCGGGAUUUAUAGUGCUCUGUUACGUCCUCUUCAAAGAACUUCGCAAGUUCUCCUACAAGCUCGUCUUCUAUCUUGCCCUAUCCGAUAUGCUUUGCAGUUUCUUCACUAUGAUAGGGGAUCCA
rnacentral:misc_RNA from 1 species